ACUCCUACGGGAGGCAGCAGUAGGGAAUCUUCCACAAUGGGCGCAAGCCUGAUGGAGCAACACCGCGUGAGUGAAGAAGGGUUUCGGCUCGUAAAGCUCUGUUGUUAAAGAAGAACACGUAUGAGAGUAACUGUUCAUACGUUGACGGUAUUUAACCAGAAAGUCACGGCUAACUACGUGCCAGCAGCCGCGGUAAUACGUAGGUGGCAAGCGUUAUCCGGUAUUUAUUGGGCGUAAAGAGAGUGCAGGUCGGUUUUCUAAGUCUGAUGUGAAAGCCUUCGGCUUAACCGGAGAAGUGCAUCGGAAACUGGAUAACUUGAGUGCAGAAGAGGGUAGUGGAACUCCAUGUGUAGCGGUGGAAUGCGUAGAUAUAUGGAAGAACA
rnacentral:rRNA from 1 species